UACAGAGGUCCCAAGCGUUGUUCGGAUUCACUGGGCGUAAAGGGUGCGUAGGUGGUCGGGUAAGUCUGAUGUGAAAUCCCGCAGCUCAACUGCGGAAUGGCAUUGGAUACUAUUUGGCUAGAGGGUUGGAGGGGGGACUGGAAUUCUCGGUGUAGCAGUGAAAUGCGUAGAUAUCGAGAGGAACACCAGUGGCGAAGGCGAGUCCCUGGACAACUACUGACGCUGAGGCACGAAAGCUAGGGGAGCAAACAGG
rnacentral:rRNA from 1 species